AUUGAACGCUGGCGGCAGGCCUAACACAUGCAAGUCGAGCGAGCGGCGGACGGGUGAGUAAUGCCUGGGAAUUGCCCAGUCGAGGGGGAUAACAGAUGGAAACGACUUCUAAUACCGCAUACGAUGGGAUUUCCCAGGUGGGAUUAGCUAGUUGGUGAGGUAAUGGCUCACCAAGGCGACGAUCCAUAGCUGGUCUGAGGGGAUGACCCGCAACACUGGAGCGGAGACACGUACCAAACUCCUAAGGGAGGCAGCAGUGGAGAACAUUGCGCAAUGGGCGGAAACGAGAUGCGGCCAUGCCGCGUGAGUCAGGAAGGCCAUCGGGUUGUAAAGGACUUCCAGCGAGGAGGCGGUACUUGCAGAAGAAGCACCGGCUAACUCCGUGCCAGCCGCCGCGGUAAUAC
rnacentral:rRNA from 1 species